rnacentral:rRNA from 1 species
UAGGGAAUCUUCCGCAAUGGGCGAAAGCCUGACGGAGCAACGCCGCGUGAGUGAUGAAGGUCUUCGGAUCGUAAAACUCUGUUAUUAGGGAAGAACAAAUGUGUAAGUAACUAUGCACGUCUUGACGGUACCUAAUCAGAAAGCCACGGCUAACUACGUGCCAGCAGCCGCGGUAAUACGUAGGUGGCAAGCGUUAUCCGGAAUUAUUGGGCGUAAAGCGCGCGUAGGCGGUUUUUUAAGUCUGAUGUGAAAGCCCACGGCUCAACCGUCGAGGGUCAUUGGAAACUGGAAAACUUGAGUGCAGAAGAGGAAAGUGGAAUUCCAUGUGUAGCGGUGAAAUGCGCAGAGAUAUGGAGGAACACCAGUGGCGAAGGCGACUUUCUGGUCUGUAACUGACGCUGAUGUGCGAAAGCGUGGGGAUCAAACAGG